rnacentral:rRNA from 1 species
UACGUAGGGGGCAAGCGUUGUCCGGAAUUAUUGGGCGUAAAGAGCGCGUAGGCGGUCCGAUAAGUCGGCUGUGAAAGUCAUGGGCUCAACCCUUGGAAGCCGGCCGAUACUGCCGUGCUUGAGGACUGGAGAGGAGACUGGAAUUUACGGUGUAGCGGUGAAAUGCGUAGAUAUCGUAAGGAAGACCAGUGGCGAAGGCGGGUCUCUGGACAGUUCCUGACGCUGAGGCACGAAGGUCAGGGGAGCAAACGGG